rnacentral:rRNA from 1 species
UACGAAGGGGGCUAGCGUUGUUCGGAAUUACUGGGCGUAAAGGGCUCGUAGGCGGCCAACUAAGUCAGACGUGAAAUCCCUCGGCUUAACCGGGGAACUGCGUCUGAUACUGGAUGGCUUGAGUUCGGGGAGAGGGAUGCGGAAUUCCAGGUGUAGCGGUGAAAUGCGUAGAUAUCUGGAGGAACACCGGUGGCGAAGGCGGCAUCCUGGACCGACACUGACGCUGAGGAGCGAAAAGCCAGGGG